CCGGCCCGUACCGCGGGCCGGCGGCUGAUGAUCUCCAGGGUCGCCUCGGUCCACGGGCCGGUCUUGCUCGCCCGGUCCAGCCGGGCGAGCCUGGCC
rnacentral:tRNA from 1 species